rnacentral:lncRNA from 1 species
UUUUUUUGUCUGUCAAUUUUUGGUUGGGUACAUGGGCCAAGCCCAAUAUUGCAGCCUUUUUAUUGUUGGGUUGUGGCCUUUUUGUCUAAACGAAUUUAGUUUUUCUUUUUUUCCCAAAAGAAGGGUCCACUAGUCAGAUGGGUACCAGUUGUCAUCAUCAGUUAGCUGUAGCCUUUUCAGGCGCAGUACACAGGAAUACAAUUUUACACAGAUAUAUUGUUGAGAAUUUUCAUAAUUUUGCUGUCAAAGCAGCAUGUACACAGGAAUACAAUUUUGCUAUCAAAGCAACAUUUCAAACGUACAUCUUCAUGACAUCGUACAUAAAAACCAGCAAUAAAAAGAUUACAAUAUGCCAUUUGGCUCAGAUCUUGCAUGCGCAGCAUCUCACAUUCAUGUACAGGAGAGGAGGAGGGGCUUGAGUUGUCCUGAAGGAUACGCAUUCCUGAAGGACACAAAAAGUAGAGGUAUUAUUUUGGACAAUAAGCUCCAAGACAACAUUGUAGGCUAUUAACAUAAAAUAAGUUAUUAUCAGGUUAAGCCUCCUUAGUUUAGUGAUCACCAUGAGAUAGAUAGUAGUACAUUUGUUAUACAGAGCAGCAACAAUGAAAAAAACAGGAAAUUAAAAUAUAAGUGUGGCAGCACCUAGAACAUUUGCUAGAAAGAACAUGCUUCCACCUUGUUUCAACAGAACUUUUAAACUUAAUAGUAAUGUGCAUCCAUGGUAUCAUCAGUCUUAACCAAACCAGAGCAAGUAAAGGAGCCAAUAGUUCUAGUUCAAGUCAUGUUAUCAUAUCAGGUAUUGCAUAGAGACAUGAUUCACACAUUCACAGAUGUGGUAGACAGAGAUGCGGAAGCCUUUCUAAAUUGGCGCAGCUCCAAUUAAAUUAAGCUUAGAGGAAGGCAAUAAGCGAACAGUCUUAAGAUGUAGUACCAAACAAUAGUGAACACAUAUUGAAACAUCAACCUCUCUUUUGUUUGCGAAUGGGAGAUAUCAACCUCAGUUUGCAGCAAGACAUAGUACACAGUUAUCUCUUUUCUAUGAAGACAUGCACAUUUUGAUAGCCAAAUGAGAUAGAUAGCAGUACAUACGCCAGCCAAAGUGUGCACAUAUGGUCUACUGAAUUCAAGUAAAAAAUGCAUUCUAGACUUGAAAAGAAGAAGGGAUUGCUAAGGGAUUGCUAGGUGUCAGUGGAACUGAUUAAAAUUAAGUGCAUUCUGCCCCUGAUAAUGUGUGGUCGGUUAUGAAAACUGCUGCACAUACCCCUGUUCCAUCCUUCGUGUUGUAGUCAGUCCCAUAAACCGUCAGCAACUAGGCCUACCAAUCACUUGAACCCAAACUAAAAAUAGAAGAACUACAUGGGAAGUUAUUUAUGCUGUAAUUUUACUAACAUGG